rnacentral:rRNA from 1 species
GGAGUGGCGAACGGGUGAGUAACACGUGGGUAACCUGCCCAUCAGAAGGGGAUAACACUUGGAAACAGGUGCUAAUACCGUAUAACAAUCAAAACCGCAUGGUUUUGAUUUGAAAGGCGCUUUCGGGUGUCGCUGAUGGAUGGACCCGCGGUGCAUUAGCUAGUUGGUGAGGUAACGGCUCACCAAGGCCACGAUGCAUAGCCGACCUGAGAGGGUGAUCGGCCACAUUGGGACUGAGACACGGCCCAAACUCCUACGGGAGGCAGCAGUAGGGAAUCUUCGGCAAUGGACGAAAGUCUGACCGAGCAACGCCGCGUGAGUGAAGAAGGUUUUCGGAUCGUAAAACUCUGUUGUUAGAGAAGAACAAGGAUGAGAGUAACUGUUCAUCCCUUGACGGUAUCUAACCAGAAAGCCACGGCUAACUACGUGCCAGCAGCCGCGGUAAUACGUAGGUGGCAAGCGUUGUCCGGAUUUAUUGGGCGUAAAGCGAGCGCAGGCGGUUUCUUAAGUCUGAUGUGAAAGCCCCCGGCUCAACCGGGGAGGGUCAUUGGAAACUGGGAGACUUGAGUGCAGAAGAGGAGAGUGGAAUUCCAUGUGUAGCGGUGAAAUGCGUAGAUAUAUGGAGGAACACCAGUGGCGAAGGCGGCUCUCUGGUCUGUAACUGACGCUGAGGCUCGAAAGCGUGGGGAGCAAACAGGAUUAGAUACCCUGGUAGUCCACGCCGUAAACGAUGAGUGCUAAGUGUUGGAGGGUUUCCGCCCUUCAGUGCUGCAGCUAACGCAUUAAGCACUCCGCCUGGGGAGUACGACCGCAAGGUUGAAACUCAAAGGAAUUGACGGGGGCCCGCACAAGCGGUGGAGCAUGUGGUUUAAUUCGAAGCAACGCGAAGAACCUUACCAGGUCUUGACAUCCUUUGACCACUCUAGAGAUAGAGCUUCCCCUUCGGGGGCAAAGUGACAGGUGGUGCAUGGUUGUCGUCAGCUCGUGUCGUGAGAUGUUGGGUUAAGUCCCGCAACGAGCGCAACCCUUAUUGUUAGUUGCCAUCAUUCAGUUGGGCACUCUAGCAAGACUGCCGGUGACAAACCGGAGGAAGGUGGGGAUGACGUCAAAUCAUCAUGCCCCUUAUGACCUGGGCUACACACGUGCU